ensembl:miRNA
ACAAAGAGCUGUGGUAGAAAGUACGGUUGCUAAUCACUUUCUACCACAGCUCUUUGCUU